CCAAGGUCAAUAGGAAGAGGAAGAAGCCUCACAUGCCACAUUGUCACACUUUCCACGCGUAGACUGAUAUUUUGGCACUGAUGUAGUUUGUUAAGGAAAGCAUUUGCUCAUAGGGAAGUGAGAAGAUUAUUCCAGCCGUCCAAAGGUCUGAACUUGUUAUUCCGUCUUAAACAAAGCAAGACGACAAAGCAGCUAGUGUCUCGUAACAACCGUCUUACGAUGAAAUUGGACGCACUCCCAGCAAAGACAUCAGAUUCGUGUUCGCCAGCGCCCGCACCCAUGUCAACUUUGUCUUGUGUUUGUCGUAUAGUCAACUUGCAGGGUUGACAUUUGAUUUGAAAUGUAAUGUUUGGUUUGGGUUGUAAUAUUCUGCAUCAAAACGUGUAUCAGAUGAAGUGUAGCGUGUAACGAGUGGUUUAUUCGUGAAACUUCUAAUAAAAUGGACUAAAUCCAAGCGUCAACCCUGCACGUUUCUGGUAUAUUACUAUUCAUGUGUAAAUAAGCUGUAAUACAGCACUCUAUCAGCACACGAUGUUUUUAUUGUAAUUUAUAUUUUUUGUUUAUACCCACCAAUAAUCGAAUCUGAAACAACACUUUUGAAGUUAUCCUAAAACAAAAAAUCCCUUGCUUAAGUGAUCUAUGAAAAUAAAAUUAAUUGCAAAAUUAUCAUUAAGUGAUGUGCAGAUAGAGCACUGUGCUAGUGCGACCGGUUUAAUGUUUGGUUGUAAAAUUAUAUGUGUGGGCAAAUAUGUAAUAAGACGCUUUGUUAUGCAAUCGAAAAUGCAUUGAUUUUAAUGAAGCUAACUUUAGAAAAAAUAAGUCGUGACUCCAUUACGUAAAAUGCCCGAGUUUUAUUGUGGGUUCAUUGGAAAAAAAAUGAACGAGAUGUAAAUCUACAAUAAACUGUAAACGCUGCAAUCCAAAUAUGACACUUAAGAAUUAACGGCAAAAUGAAAUCGUAAAAUGUACUCAAGUUAUUACAGAAUUGCCCACACGUAUUGAAACGGGUCUUUUUAAAAUUGUGAAAAUACGGUUAUGAUGCAUGGUAAGAAUCAACUUCCUCUGGUUCCCGGUGUUUUGAUAUACUAGUAGUGUGUCAGUGAUAGACCCAUAGUUUUAUUGCUGGGAUGGGGUAGAAAUGUUUGUCUUUUCAGAAAAUCAAACCAGGGGUUGGUUUAGUUUUUUUUUUUUCGAAAGUUUUUCUUGUUUAAGAAGGAAAAUUAACUUUUUACCUUCAUUACAAGGCGGAUAUACUCUCAAAGAGAAACUGUGAAUAGUAGAAAUUGUUUCCUUUUGCGUCUUUUGUCAAUUAAAAUAUAUAUGUAGGACUGGCAUUUAUCGCAUCUUUUACAACUUGAAAAUUUAAAAAUCCGUAUCAAACCUGUAUCAAAAACUACAGUUGCCGCAAAGCUCUGUUUUGGGGGUAAUAGGGAUUACCUAGUAAUUAAACGAACUUUGUGAAUCCUCUAAAACACGGAAUUUUCUGUUAGUUGCCAAUUUACUUUUUCUUUUGUGAAUUUUUUUGUCUAAUCAAAUGUCAAAAAUAAAAAUUCUAAAAAAUUCAGAAAAAUGAAACUUUGAUUGGUUAAAGUAAAAGAUUUACACAAAAUUUGAAGGUCAGUGUUUUAUUUAAUAUUGAUAUUGUACUUGGUACUUUCUCUUUAUUUUGGUCGGGAUCAAGGGGAGAUUAAGAAUAAAAGGCCUGAUUAGGUGCCAGUCUUGCAGUGCUGUUGGGCUAUAUUUGCUGAGUGUUUCUUGAUCACUGAACACCGGAGACCGUUGAGUUUUUUUAGCAUUUUCUGAGUAAAUGUGCUUAGUUAUUUUAAGUAAACUAGUUUUCGUAGAACCUUUUCAAUUUUGUUUACAUAUUGUUGUUAAAAAUGACUAUGACUGGGAUAAGGUUGCAAACUGACCAUGUUUUCAUGCUGGUCUCGAUUCGCACGACGCAUAAAUUUAAGUGUUCACUCAAAAUUGUGUCACCAAAAAUAUUAUUUUAAGAGAAGAAAAAAUGACGCACAUUAUCAGGUACAUAUUUAUUUAUCUAUGAAAAAAACUCUCAAAUUUACAGAAUUGAAUAAUGUUUGACUGGUGUUUGUUUUUUGUGAUCAUCAGCAUGGCGACAUAGAGUAAGUUGCGGUGUCAUGAGUGUGUACCCGCGUGCGGGGGGAACGCUUACAUGAGAUCAUAUGCAGUUUGAAUUUCGAUACUGUUGCCACCUUUGAAUUAUGGAUAAAAAUGUCCGUUGGUAAAAUUUUGGAUCAGUCACAAGACAAAUACUCCAAUGUCAACUUUGAACGAUGGCUGUUAAAUACAUCACGUCGAAUCUUCAACUUUCUCUUUUAACUC
rnacentral:lncRNA from 1 species